rnacentral:rRNA from 1 species
ACUCAAAGGAAUUGACGGGGGCCCGCACAAGCAGCGGAGCAUGUGGUUUAAUUCGAAGCAACGCGAAGAACCUUACCAGGGCUUGACAUCCCUCUGACCGGUGUAGAGAUACACCUUUCCUUCGGGACAGGGGAGACAGGUGGUGCAUGGUUGUCGUCAGCUCGUGUCGUGAGAUGUUGGGUUAAGUCCCGCAACGAGCGCAACCCCUAUCUUUAGUUGCCAACAGGUAAAGCUGGGGACUCUAGAGAGACUGCCGGGGACAACUCGGAGGAAGGUGGGGAUGACGUCAAAUCAUCAUGCCCCUUAUGUCCUGGGCUACACACGUGCUACAAUGGCCUGAAACAAAGGGAAGCGAAGGCGCAAGCUGGAGCAAAUCUCAGAAACCAGGUCCCAGUUCGGAUUGUGGGCUGCAACUCGCCCACAUGAAGUCGGAGUUGCUAGUAAUCGCGAAUCAGCAUGUCGCGGUGAAUACGUUCCCGGGCCUUGUACACACCGCCCGU